GGGGAUUUAGCUCAGUGGUAGAGCACUUGCCUAGCAAGAGCAAGUCCCUG
rnacentral:tRNA from 1 species